GAUGAAGAACGUAGCAAAAUGCGAUAAGUAAUGUGAAUUGCAGAAUUCAGUGAAUCAUCGAAUCUUUGAACGCACAUUGCGCCCGCCAGUAUUCUGGCGGGCAUGCCUGUUCGAGCGUCAUUUCAACCCUCAAGCACAGCUUGGUGUUGGGACUCGCGUUAAUUCGCGUUCCCCAAAUUGAUUGGCGGUCACGUCGAGCUUCCAUAGCGUAGUAGUAAAACCCUCGUUACUGGUAAUCGUCGCGGCCACGCCGUUAAACCCCAACUUCUGAAUGUUGACCUCGGAUCAGGUAGGAAUACCCGCUGAACUUAAGCAUAUCAAUAAGCCGAGGA
rnacentral:misc_RNA from 1 species